UAAUUGAAGAGUUUGAUCAUGGCUCAGAUUGAACGCUGGCGGCAGGCCUAACACAUGCAAGUCGAGCGGCAGCACAGAGAAACUUGUUUCUCGGGUGGCGAGCGGCGGACGGGUGAGUAAUGCCUGGGAAAUUGCCCUGAUGUGGGGGAUAACCAUUGGAAACGAUGGCUAAUACCGCAUGAUGCCUACGGGCCAAAGAGGGGGACCUUCGGGCCUCUCGCGUCAGGAUAUGCCCAGGUGGGAUUAGCUAGUUGGUGAGGUAAGGGCUCACCAAGGCGACGAUCCCUAGCUGGUCUGAGAGGAUGAUCA
rnacentral:rRNA from 1 species